UACGUAGGGGGGCUAGCGUUGUCCGGAAUCAUUGGGCGUAAAGCGCGUGUAGGCGGUCCGGUAAGUCCGCUGUGAAAGUCGGGGGCUCAACCCUCGAAAGCCGGUGGAUACUGUCGGGCUAGAGUACGGAAGAGGCGAGUGGAAUUCCUGGUGUAGCGGUGAAAUGCGCAGAUAUCAGGAGGAACACCAAUUGCGAAGGCAGCUCGCUGGGACGUUACUGACGCUGAGACGCGAAAGCGUGGGGAGCAAACAGG
rnacentral:rRNA from 1 species